GGGCCAUACGUGUAAGUCUUUUAUUAUUCUCACUUUCUUCUGUUGAUGAGGUGAAACAACCUCUGUAAUUUUUAAUUUCGUUUCUUUCCAUUUGCUUUUCAAUUUCAUAGUUAUACAUAUGAGUGAAAUUAUUUGUGUUAAAUUGAUGGAAAAAAAUUUUCCAACCAGUGAUGUUGAUAGCUUCAAUUAUAGCUGUGCUUUUUAGAUUUUUUUUUUCAACCAAAAGAUGGGGAUAUAAAUUAGCUCUUUAUUUGUUUCAUGUGGCCGCUUUAAAUGUCAAUUUUUUUUAAUCUGUUUGAAAAUUUUGACGUUAUUCUAGUACCAUUAUCUUAUAAGUUCAUAUCCUGGGUUUUCCCACUCUAGAUUAAAGUCCAUGUCUUUUGAUUUUUACAUGAUUAUGUUCUUGCGUUUUUUUUUUUCCCAUUAACUAAAUAGUGUAUCCGUUCAUUUUUCUCUUAUAUUUUGUCAAUCGAGCAAGUCAAGUUGGAGAUAUUUUGUUUGUAUUCUUAUAAUACACAUGCCCCAAUCCCUAUACCUGUCGAAUAAUUGUAGAAUC
rnacentral:misc_RNA from 1 species